UUGAGGGAGACAAAAAAUAUGUGUUGCCUCCUGGGAAUCUCAUUGUUCAGUUUUCUUAGCUUCUUACUAAUUCUUGAUUCUAGGAUCCAGUAGACUAGGUGAUCAUUGUUUAUAUAUGCCCAAACCAAUGCAUGCUGCUGUAAUAUAUGUGCUUCAGAAUCUGGCAGAGCACCUCUUGCUGUUUACAUAUGCAAAUAGUAAUUCUUGUUACUCACCCGAGGUAUAGUUGUGAAAAUCCUGACCUGAAGGUGGAGAUUGCUGAUGUGGAAUGGCGGCGGAGGUCACCAUAGAGACCAUAAGCAGACUAGCACCCAGCGCCCAGCAGUAGCAAUCCAACAUAAAUGCACAAAACAAGCACGAGCAGACACACGCAGCAGCAAAGCACGGGGAAUAGAGGUGGAUAGCCAUCCUGAAAUGGCUCUUUUUGGUACCCGUGGCGUGGGGAGCGCCGGUCAGCCCGGCGGACCUUUGAUAUAUGGAAGAUCUAAAACCCUCUGUAAGAUUUUGGUUCUGCAGAAGCCAAUGAUCUGGCACGCUGGGACCUAACUUCUGGAGUGAACGACUGCGGGAAGCAAAAUACAAUAUUGAUGAGAAACAGUUAUAACACACUUCUCUUUGCAAGCUGGAUACGAAGAGAAAUAUGUUAAAUAGACGGAAGAAAAAAAAAGGUAAGCGUUGGCAAGUCUGUGUUGGAUGCAGUGUAUUGCCACGCCAAAUCCACACUGGUUGAGGAGGUGGCUCUGCAACUUGCAGUCCGGCGUGACGAGGUCUUCAUCACAAUUAGCUCGAGAUGAUGCAAGCGUUCCUCAUGUCCGCCCAGGACGAGAGAUACGAUGCGCUGAUGUAGUUUUGUAACCAAUCAUGUCUUUACACAGGCUUGCUAACCUCAU